GAAGAAACAUACCGUCCUGGCUGGGAAAGUUAACAAAUCUUACAUCCUUAGUGCUUGAAGAAAACGAACUCUCUGGCACUAUUCCAGACGAGCUGGGAAACCUGAUCAACCUAGAACACUUGAAACUUGCAUCCAAUCGAUUGACCGGAAGCUUGCCAAGCAGUCUUUCAAGACUAGUCAAGCUACGAGAUUUUUUCAUUAGUGACAAUAACUUAAGCGGCAACAUUCCCGAUCUUAUUGGAAACUGGUUUCAGAUUAGCAGGCUGUAAGUGCAUCGAUAUCUAUUUGCAAGUGGGCUGAGAGGGCCUAUUCCUGAUUCACUGUCGCGUCUAGAAAAUCUUAAGGAGCUGUAAGUGAAUUGCCU